rnacentral:rRNA from 1 species
AUUGAACGCUGGCGGCAUGCCUUACACAUGCAAGUCGAACGGCAGCACGGGUGCUUGCACCUGGUGGCGAGUGGCGAACGGGUGAGUAAUACAUCGGAACAUGUCCUGUAGUGGGGGAUAGCCCGGCGAAAGCCGGAUUAAUACCGCAUACGAUCCACGGAUGAAAGCGGGGGACCUUCGGGCCUCGCGCUUUGGGGUUGGCCGAUGGCUGAUUAGCUAGUUGGUGGGGUAAAGGCCUACCAAGGCGACGAUCAGUAGCUGGUCUGAGAGGGCGACCAGCCACACUGGGACUGAGACACGGCCCAGACUCCUACGGGAGGCAGCAGUGGGGAAUUUUAGACAAUGGGCGAAAGCCUGAUCCAGCAAUGCCGCGUGUGUGAAGAAGGCCUUCGGGUUGUAAAGCACUUUUGUCCGGAAAGAAAUCCUUGACUCUAAUACAGUCAGGGGAUGACGGUACCGGAAGAAUAAGCACCGGCUAACUACGUG